rnacentral:rRNA from 1 species
UGCCCAAAGGGCCAAACCCUUGUUUUAGGCACCCCGCGUGCGGGAAGAAACCCUUCGGGGUGUAAACCGUUUUUAGGGAGGAGGAAUCCAUUCGGUUUAAUGGCCCGGAGGGUGACGGUACCUCCAGAAAAAGCCCCGCCUAACUAUGUGCCAGCAGCCGCGGUAUUACGUAGGGGGCAAGCGUUGUUCGGAUUUAUUGGGCGUAAAGAGCGUGUAGGCGGCCAGUUAAGUCUGAUGUGAAAUCUCGGGGCUCACCCCCGGGACGUCGUUGGAAACCGUCUGGCUAGAGUACGGAAGAGGGGAGUGGAAUUCCUGGUGUAGCGGUGAAAUGCGCAGAUAUCGGGAGGAACACCGGUGGCGAAGGCGGCUUUCUGGGCCGGUACUGACGCUGAGACGCGAAAGCGUGGGGAGCGAACUCGC